rnacentral:rRNA from 1 species
CAAUAGCGUAUAUUAAAGUUGUUGCAGUUAAAAGCUCGUAGUUGGAUUUCUGGGAGGGUGCCAAUGUCCGUCGUCGUACGUGUUGCAGCGGCGCCCUUCCAUCCUUCUGUUAACGACUUUGGGCAUUCACUUGCCGGAGUCGGGCUCAGAUAUUUUACCUUGAGAAAAUUAGAGUGUUUCAGGCAGGCUAUCGCCGGAAUACAUUAGCAUGGAAUAAUGGAAAAGGACUUCAACCUCUUCUGUUGGUCUGAGAGGCUGUAGUAAUGAUUAAUAGGGAUAGUUGGGGGCAUUAGUACUUGACUGUCAGAGGUGAAAUUCUCCGAUUUGUUAAAGACGGACUACUGCGAAAGCAUUUGCCAAGGAUGUUUUCAUUGAUCAAGAACGAAAGUUAGGGGAUCGAAGAUGAUCAGAUACCGU